rnacentral:tmRNA from 1 species
GGCGAUUAGGAUUCGACGACGGUGACGAAACUCGAGGUGCAUGCCGAGUGUGUAGCAGCUCUCGUUAAUCAUAAUGCUACAAACCUAUUAGUUGCCAACAACGACAACUACGACGUAGCACUGGUCGCUUAAAACCGACCCGCUACCAGUCAACCUGACUUUUCUGUUGGUUGGGAUUGACUGUCACUUUAAACAGAAUCGCUGCCUCCUGCGGGCCUAACGCAGGACAGUUAAAACUUUACUUGGAUCGCUCUGUAAAUCCCGCCUGCUGGAUCGUACAGAGUUAAAAUAAAAGCAGAUCUAAGCAUGUAGAGCCAAGGGCGGAGUGCCGGCGGACGGGGGUUCAAAUCCCCCCG